rnacentral:rRNA from 1 species
CCCCUAGAUGUUCUGGGCCGCACGCGCGCUACACUGAACAGUUCAACAAGUCUUAACCUUGGCCGAUAGGUCUGGGUAAUCUUUGAACGCUGUUCGUGAUUGGGAUAGACCUUUGCAAUUAUGGGUCUUCAACGAGGAAUUCCUAGUAAACGCAAGUCAUCAGCUUGCAUUGAUUACGUCCCUGCCCUUUGUACACACCGCCCGUCGCACCUACCGAUUGAAUGGUCCAGUGAAAUCUCGGGACGGCGGCUUGGUCGCUUGCGUCCGACUGCUGAAACUUGAUUAAACCAUAUCAUUUAGAGGAAGGUGAAGUCGUANCA